rnacentral:rRNA from 1 species
AAAUUGAAGAGUUUGAUCAUGGCUCAGAUUGAACGCUGGCGGCAGGCCUAACACAUGCAAGUCGAACGGUAACAGGAAGCAGCUUGCUGCUUUGCUGACGAGUGGCGGACGGGUGAGUAAUGUCUGGGAAACUGCCUGAUGGAGGGGGAUAACUACUGGAAACGGUGGCUAAUACCGCAUAACGUCGCAAGACCAAAGAGGGGGACCUUCGGGCCUCUUGCCAUCAGAUGUGCCCAGAUGGGAUUAGCUUGUUGGUGAGGUAACGGCUCACCAAGGCGACGAUCCCUAGCUGGUCUGAGAGGAUGACCAGCCACACUGGAACUGAGACACGGUCCAGACUCCUACGGGAGGCAGCAGUGGGGAAUAUUGCACAAUGGGCGCAAGCCUGAUGCAGCCAUGCCGCGUGUAUGAAGAAGGCCUUCGGGUUGUAAAGUACUUUCAGCGGGGAGGAAGGUGUUGUGGUUAAUAACCACAGCAAUUGACGUUACCCGCAGAAGAAGCACCGGCUAACUCCGUGCCAGCAGCCGCGGUAAUACGGAGGGUGCAAGCGUUAAUCGGAAUUACUGGGCGUAAAGCGCACGCAGGCGGUCUGUCAAGUCGGAUGUGAAAUCCCCGGGCUCAACCUGGGAACUGCAUUCGAAACUGGCAGGCUUGAGUCUUGUAGAGGGGGGUAGAAUUCCAGGUGUAGCGGUGAAAUGCGUAGAGAUCUGGAGGAAUACCGGUGGCGAAGGCGGCCCCCUGGACAAAGACUGACGCUCAGGUGCGAAAGCGUGGGGAGCAAACAGGAUUAGAUACCCUGGUAGUCCACGCCGUAAACGAUGUCUACUUGGAGGUUGUGCCCUUGAGGCGUGGCUUCCGGAGCUAACGCGUUAAGUAGACCGCCUGGGGAGUACGGCCGCAAGGUUAAAACUCAAAUGAAUUGACGGGGGCCCGCACAAGCGGUGGAGCAUGUGGUUUAAUUCGAUGCAACGCGAAGAACCUUACCUGGUCUUGACAUCCACAGAAGAAUCCAGAGAUGGAUUUGUGCCUUCGGGAACUGUGAGACAGGUGCUGCAUGGCUGUCGUCAGCUCGUGUUGUGAAAUGUUGGGUUAAGUCCCGCAACGAGCGCAACCCUUAUCCUUUGUUGCCAGCGGUCCGGCCGGGAACUCAAAGGAGACUGCCAGUGAUAAACUGGAGGAAGGUGGGGAUGACGUCAAGUCAUCAUGGCCCUUACGACCAGGGCUACACACGUGCUACAAUGGCGCAUACAAAGAGAAGCGACCUCGCGAGAGCAAGCGGACCUCAUAAAGUGCGUCGUAGUCCGGAUUGGAGUCUGCAACUCGACUCCAUGAAGUCGGAAUCGCUAGUAAUCGUGGAUCAGAAUGCCACGGUGAAUACGUUCCCGGGCCUUGUACACACCGCCCGUCACACCAUGGGAGUGGGUUGCAAAAGAAGUAGGUAGCUUAACCUUCGGGAGGGCGCUUACCACUUUGUGAUUCAUGACUGGGGUGAAGUCGUAACAAGGUAACCGUAGGGGAACCUGCGGUUGGAUCACCUCCUUA